UUUCAAUUUAAAAUCAUAAAGCAUAUACUGAUACAACUAUAGUUUAUUAGUAAAUUUCCCACCAUGGAGAGAUGUAUUCUGCUGAUUCUUAUAACAGUACCAGGUGUAUUUGCUGACAGCAUUAAACCAAAAGACAAGGAAAAUAUAAUCAGGACAGAAGGAGAGUCUGUGACACUGAGCUGUACAUAUGAUACAAGCAGCAGUAAUACUUAUGUUAUGCUUUACUGGUACAGACAGUUUCCAAACAGAGAACCUCAGUAUUUACUGCGGAAAGGUGCUCGAUCAUGGAGCAAUAUUGAGGAUAUACCAGAUCCUCACUUUCAGUCGACUACAUCUCAAACAUCCACUGAACUCAAGAUUAAUGGUGUGACUCUGUCAGAUUCAGCUCUCUAUUACUGUGCUCUAAGAGUUGACGCCCAGUGA